rnacentral:rRNA from 1 species
CACGUAGGGCGCAAGCGUUAUCCGGAAUUAUUGGGCGUAAAGAGCUCGUAGGCGGUUUGUCGCGUCUGCCGUGAAAGUCCGGGGCUCAACUCCGGAUCUGCGGUGGGUACGGGCAGACUAGAGUGAUGUAGGGGAGACUGGAAUUCCUGGUGUAGCGGUGAAAUGCGCAGAUAUCAGGAGGAACACCGAUGGCGAAGGCAGGUCUCUGGGCAUUAACUGACGCUGAGGAGCGAAAAGCAUGGGGAGCGAACAGG